UCAUACGUAGGACCCAAGCGUUAUCCGGAGUGACUGGGCGUAAAGAGUUGCGUAGGCGGUGAUUUAAGCAGAUAGUGAAAGCAUGUGGCUCAACCAUUAUGUCUAUUAUCUGAACUGAAUUACUCGAGUAUGGUAGAGGUAGCUGGAAUUUCUAGUGUAGGAGUGAAAUCCGUAGAUAUUAGAAGGAACACCGAUGGCGUAGGCAGGCUACUGGACCAUUACUGACGCUGAGGCACGAAAGCGUGGGGAGCGAACCGG
rnacentral:rRNA from 1 species